rnacentral:rRNA from 1 species
UACGUAGGAUCCAAGCGUUGUCCGGAUUUACUGGGUGUAAAGGGUGCGCAGGCGGACUGGUGAGUCUGGGGUGAAAUCUCGCUGCUUAACAGCGAAACUGCCUUAGAUACUAUCAGUCUUGAAUCAGCGAGAGGUUCGUGGAAUUCCGAGUGUAGCAGUGAAAUGUGUAGAUAUUCGGAAGAACACCAGUGGCGAAGGCAGCGAACUGGCGCUCGAUUGACGCUCAGGCACGGAAAG